AGUUUGAUCAUGGCUCAGGAUGAACGCUAGCGGCAGGCUUAAUACAUGCAAGUCGAGGGGCAGCAUGGUGUAGCAAUACACUGAUGGCGACCGGCAAACGGGUGCGGAACACGUACAGAACCUUCCUUCGAGCGGGGAAUAGCCCAGAGAAAUUUGGAUUAAUACCCCAUAGUAUAGCGGAGAGGCAUCUCUCUGUUAUUAAAGAUUUAUCACUUGAAGAUGGCUGUGCGGCUGAUUAGGUAGUUGGCGGGGUAACGGCCCACCAAGCCUGCGAUCAGUAACUGGUGUGAGAGCACGACCAGUCACACGGGCACUGAGACACGGGCCCGACCCCUACGGGAGGCAGCAGUAAGGAAUAUUGGUCAAUGGACGAAAGUCUGAACCAGCCAUGCCGCGUGGAGGAUGAAGGUCCCCUGGAUUGUAAACUUCUUUUAUAUGGGACGAAAAAAGGUCUUUCUAGAUCGUCUGACGGUACCAUAUGAAUAAGCACCGGCUAACUCCGUG
rnacentral:rRNA from 1 species